GCCAUGCCGCGUGCAGGAAGACUGCCCUAUGGGUUGUAAACUGCUUUUAUACAGGAAGAAACCCCUUCAACGUGUGAAGGUCUGACGGUACUGUAUGAAUAAGGAUCGGCUAACUCCGUGCCAGCAGCCGCGGUAAUACGGAGGAUCCAAGCGUUAUCCGGAAUCAUUGGGUUUAAAGGGUCCGUAGGCGGGAUAAUAAGUCAGUGGUGAAAGUCUGCAGCUUAACUGUAGAAUUGCCAUUGAUACUGUUGUUCUUGAAUUAUUAUGAAGUGGUUGGAAUGAGUAGUGUAGCGGUGAAAUGCAUAGAUAUUACUCAGAACACCUAUUGCGAAGGCAGAUCACUAAUAAUAUAUUGACGCUGAUGGACGAAAGCGUAGGUAGCGAACAGGAUUAGAUACCCUGGUAGUCUGCGCCGUAAACGAUGGUUACUAGCUGUCCGGCCUAAUUGAGGGCUGGGUGGUUAAGCGAAAGUGAUAAGUAACCCACCUGGGGAGUACGUUCGCAAGAAUGAAACUCAAAGGAAUUGACGGGGGCCCGCACAAGCGGUGGAGCAUGUGGUUUAAUUCGAUGAUACGCGAGGAACCUUACCAGGGCUUAAAUGCGGUCUGACAGGAGUGGAAACACUCCCUUCUUCGGACAGAUUGCAAGGUGCUGCAUGGUUGUCGUCAGCUCGUGCCGUGAGGUGUCAGGUUAAGUCCUAUAACGAGCGCAACCCCUGUGGUUAGUUGCCAGCACGUAAUGGUGGGAACUCUAGCCAGACUGCCGGUGCAAACCGUGAGGAAGGUGGGGAUGACGUCAAAUCAUCACGGCCCUUACGUCCUGGGCCACACACGUGCUACAAUGGUAGGGACAGAGGGCAGCUACCCCGCGAGGGGAUGCGAAUCUUCAAACCCUAUCACAGUUCGGAUCGCAGUCUGCAACUCGACUGCGUGAAGCUGGAAUCGCUAGUAAUCGCAUAUCAGCCAUGAUGCGGUGAAUACGUUCCCGGGCCUUGUACACACCGC
rnacentral:rRNA from 1 species